CUUUCUGAACAGGCUGGGGAAAGGAGGGUCUCCCUGACCUUGGCUGCAGCACGCUCACACCCCAAGCAGUGCACGCAUCGCUGGAGCUCUUGCUUUGAAGAACUGCACCUGACUUCAAGGUGAUUGUGAAUGCAGAGCAUGACCCAUUUUAAACAGGUCCAGUUGUCUUCGCAAUGGAGUGACCGGCUCCAGUGCAAGCAGUACGGGGUCCUGGAGCACGCACAAGCCAGGCUGGCUUUGGUCACAGAAAUGAGAUGAUUGGCAGAAGAGCCCCACUUCCCAACAGGAGGAGAUCUCAACAGCAGCCCCUGAAGCUGAGCACACAACUUGUCAUGGCUGGUUUUGUGCGGGUGUCACUGAGCCGCAGCUCUGCCUGCGAGCCCCGAUUGCGUUCAUAAGCAGAGUUGCAAAGUUCACUGUGCAGCAUUACAAAACUAAAUUAAUUAAUCUGUGUAAAAUGAUUCAGAGCCAAGCACUGUACUAUCCAUGAUAAUAAACUAACCAAACAAAAUAC